rnacentral:rRNA from 1 species
GACGAACGCUGGCGGCGUGCUUAACACAUGCAAGUCGAACGGAAAGGCCCUGCUUUUGUGGGGUGCUCGAGUGGCGAACGGGUGAGUAACACGUGGGUAACCUGCCCUUGACUUUGGGAUAACUUCAGGAAACUGGGGCUAAUACCGGAUAGGAGCUCCUGCUGCAUGGUGGGGGUUGGAAAGUUUCGGCGGUUGGGGAUGGACUCGCGGCUUAUCAGCUUGUUGGUAGGGUAGUGGCUUACCAAGGCUUUGACGGGUAGCCGGCCUGAGAGGGUGACCGGCCACAUUGGGACUGAGAUACGGCCCAGACUCCUACGGGAGGCAGCAGUGGGGAAUAUUGCACAAUGGGCGGAAGCCUGAUGCAGCAACGCCGCGUGCGGGAUGACGGCCUUCGGGUUGUAAACCGCUUUCGCCUGUGACGAAGCGUGAGUGACGGUAAUGGGUAAAGAAGCACCGGCUAACUACGUG